CGAUAUUACGCGCUCGCUGCACCGUCGUGUCCCGCUUACAAAAUAAUAUUACAUUAAUUGUUGGCUGCGGGAUGCGGCCAUGUGGUCACUCCGAUCGAUUACUGAGCCAUAGACGCGAACGACGAAUUGUUCUGGUCGUCUACAGGCCUUACUUUAACGGGUAGUAAACACCCGAAUCGGUCAGCUGAAGUACUAACUUAAUGGGCAUAAAACUAUGACUAUCAGAAGUCGCGGACAAACGUUUCUUAAGGCGGACGCGAACAAAGUCGUUUCGCCAACAGAACAAUAUUAUACGAGUGUAUCACGGAUAGAAAACAAGCUCACCCAACUACAAUAAUAAUUAUAAAUAAAAAAACCAGGUAUACCAUCAGUGGCGGCAACUAUAAGUUGGUAAAAUUAUUUACAUUUUACUGCCGACGCAAACAAACGAGUGAAAUCCGACAGUGUGCCGACCGUUCGCCGAAACCAUUAAAAAACGAAGGAACAAUAGUUAUAUACGAUGGCGGGUGCCGACGAGGGAUUUGGUUAUUAAAAUACUUUCUUUCGUUGCCGUUGUGUCACAACGGUUGUGAGUUGUGACGUUGUGUGCAAUAUUAUUGUACAACUACUGUAUUUGAGUAGUGUUUGGAGGAGUUUUUACAACUCUAGAUGGGAUUUACACGCAGUUUGUAAUAAUUAGACACAGAUACGUUUAAAUUAUAGGUGUGUUUCGUUUAUCUGCUGGUUUAUCACGAGCAUAUGAUUACAUGAUUUGUAUUAUCUGAUAAUGUCUUGCAAAAGUAAAGUGCCUUCCUCACGAAACAAACAAGUCUUCCACGGAUAUAAUAACUAAUAAUUCAAAAACGUAACCUAAAAUUUAAAAUACUUUUAAAAUUGUAUAGAUGACGCGUUUGUCAAUGUCGAGUUGUUAAAUAACGGUUGAGAUACCGUCGAAUGUUGAUCGUUAUAUAACUUAUAAACUAUGUAUGGGUAUUCAUUUUUUUCUCUCAAUAUUUGUAUU